AACGUAGGUGGCAAGCGUUAUCCGGAAUUACUGGGCGUAAAGCGUGCGCAGGCGGUUUUGUAAGCCAGAUGUGAAAUCCCCGGGCUUAACCUGGGAAUGGCAUUUGGGACUGCAAGGCUGGAGUGCGGCAGAGGAGACUGGAAUUCCUGGUGUAGCAGUGAAAUGCGUAGAUAUCAGGAGGAAUACCGAUGGCGAAGGCAGGUCUCUGGGCCGCAACUGACGCUGAGGAGCGAAAGCAUGGGGAGCGAACAGG
rnacentral:rRNA from 1 species